rnacentral:rRNA from 1 species
AACGAACGCUGGCGGCGCGCCUAAUACAUGCAAGUCGAACGAGAAUGUGUAGCAAUACACAUGUACAGUGGCGAACGGGUGAGGACUACAUGGGUAACCUACCCUCGAGUGGGGAAUAACUAGCCGAAAGGUUAGCUAAUACCGCGUACGCUUCCGGGACUGCGGUUCCGGAAGGAAAGCGAUACCGUGGGUAUCGCGCUCUUGGAUGGGCUCAUGCCCUAUCAGCUUGUUGGUGAGGUAACGGCUCACCAAGGCUUCGACGGGUAGCUGAUCUGAGAGGAUGAUCAGCCACACUGGCACUGCGACACGGGCCAGACUCCUACGGGAGGCAGCAGUAAGGAAUAUUGCGCAAUGGGCGAAAGCCUGACGCAGCGACGCCGCGUGGGGGAUGAAGGUCUUCGGAUUGUAAACCCCUUUCGGGAGGGAAGAUGGGAUGGGGUAACCCAUUCGGACGGUACCUCCAGAAGCAGCCACGGCUAACUUCGUGC